rnacentral:rRNA from 1 species
AUGGGCGUCCAAGAGGCACUCCUUGCCGGAUCACGCUGCUGCUGGCGUAAUCCAGGCCGGAUCUGUGGAGAGCCCGGCGCAGCACCGUCUACAGAUCCAUAUCUCUUACAGUCUUACUCUACCUUAUUCCUUGUAUUUGGCAAUGUUGGCUCUUGGGCUGCCCAAUUGAUAACUGAAGCUGGUGGCAAGGUGGUCUCCAUCAGAGAUGUCACAGGGGCUGUCAAGAACUCCAAUGGCGUUGACAUAGCCAAGCUGAUGAAGCACUCGGCAAAGAACCGCGGGAUCAAGGGCUCCGACAAAAGGCGACGCCGUCGACCCGACCUCGCUGCUCACGGAAGAGUGCGACGUGCUCAUCCCGGCAGCUCUGGGACAAUGUUGAUGCCAUCAAAGCAAAGUACAUCAUCGAAGCUGCUAACCACCCAACAGACCCCAAGGCCGAAGAGAUUCUGGCAAAGAAGGACGUGCUGA